AACGAACGCUGGCGGCAUGCCUAACACAUGCAAGUCGAACGAGACCUUCGGGUCUAGUGGCGCACGGGUGCGUAACGCGUGGGAAUCUGCCCUUGGGUUCGGAAUAACAGUUGGAAACGACUGCUAAUACCGGAUGAUGACGUAAGUCCAAAGAUUUAUCGCCCAGGGAUGAGCCCGCGUAGGAUUAGCUAGUUGGUGGGGUAAAGGCCUACCAAGGCGACGAUCCUUAGCUGGUCUGAGAGGAUGAUCAGCCACACUGGGACUGAGACACGGCCUAGACUCCUACGGGAGGCAGCAGUGGGGAAUAUUGGACAAUGGGCGAAAGCCUGAUCCAGCAAUGCCGCGUGAGUGAUGAAGGCCUUAGGGUUGUAAAGCUCUUUUACCCGGGAUGAUAAUGACAGUACCGGGAGAAUAAGCCCCGGCUAACUCCGUG
rnacentral:rRNA from 1 species